UGAGGGGUGAGGGGGGUUGUAGAUACCAGCCCAAACUAAACCAAACCCAAUGCAAUAGAGCGAGGAGGAGAGCGUGGUCGAUGCUUGACAACGGAGUGGCACGCGACAAUGGUCCCCAUUCCCGAAAUGCUCCGAGUUCCCAGGUUCCCAGCGAAACAUCCCGCAAACCGGUAGAAAGAAGGCGAUGAGCUCUUCGGUCUUGCGCGUGUGGGCGGUGCUGACGGUAGCCGCCUUCGAAAUUGCCACCCAGGCUCAAACACACGCACGCACGGUCUAACUAGCAAUAGAGACUAGGCACACGUUGAAUACCCACCUAGAAGACAUCAAGGGCGCCGAGGAGGAGACCAGCGCCAGGGCGGGACGUUCGCAUGUGCAACAAAAAGGGAAAAGGCAAACGGUGUGAGCGGAAAGGCGCGCGAGCGAAAAAGGCAACAGUAUGCUAUGUGCAGGAGCCUGGGUGAGAGAGGGGGAAACAGGCAGCGGGCAAUGAAAUAGAGGCAAGCACGCAUCGGCAUGGGGCCACACGAGGGCCAGGGGGCACAGGGACAGGGGGAGGGGGGUGGUUAGGGGAGAGGCAGGGUGCGGGCCGCGGACGGCUCCCCGGGGGGGGGCUUAGGGGUGAGGGGCGGGGGGCGAGGGGCGGGGGGCGACAUACGCACACACGGCACCGAAUGGCGUCGGGGGCUGGGUCCACCUUUCCCCCAGAGCGCUGUCAUAAUGUGUCUACAUGUAUGUGAGGAGGGCAGCGGUGCGCGGUCGCGGCGGACGCGUACCAUGUCCCUGCUCGCCAACAGCACACCUAGUACCAGCAGCAAGCAGCCCGUUAUUUGCAGGACUCAAUCGUGGAUGUUUAUUUGCGUGUGUGCCGCUCCUGGCAAUCGCGCAGGUG
rnacentral:lncRNA from 1 species